CAACUCUCAACAACGGAUAUCUUGGCUCCCGCAACGAUGAAGAACGCAGCGAAAUGCGAUACGUAGUGUGAAUUGCAGAAUUCCGUGAACCAUCGAAUCUUUGAACGCAAAUUGCGCUCGAGGCCUCGGCCAAGAGCACGUCUGCCUCAGCGUC
rnacentral:rRNA from 1 species